rnacentral:rRNA from 1 species
GUCUACGGCCAUACCACCCUGAAUGCGCCCGAUCUCGUCUGAUCUCGGAAGCUAAGCAGGGUCGGGCCUAGUUAGUACUUGGAUGGGAGAAUUAGCAGCAUAUUCUUUCCAGUUAUAGACA